AUGAUGUAUAGUCUAUCAUUGAGCAACAAUGAUCUCUCAGGGGAAUUCCCUAAAUUUCCUCGUGGUGCCUCACAUUUGGGUUUCCUUGAUCUCUCAUACAAUACGUUCUUUGGAACAUUGCCAAAGUGGUUACCAGAAAAAAUGCCACUAUUGCAAAUCCUGAGGUUGAGAUCAAACAUGUUUAGUGGUCAUAUUCCUAAUAACCUUGUUUUCCUGGAAAGACUUCAUUAUUUGGACUUGGCCCGUAACAAUAUAUCAGGAAGCAUACCAUGGUCACUAUCAAACUUGAAAGCAAUGAGAAUCAUAUAUGAUAAUAAGUCAGCCUACGAUUUUGAGGAUAACAUACAAGUAAUCACAAAAGGCCAAACCCGUGAAUAUUCCAUUGAAAUCUACCAGCUGCUGAUGAAUCUUGAUCUGUCAUGUAACAGUAUAACGGGACAGAUUCCAGCAGAAAUACAUUUGCUGAUUGGGCUUACCAACUUGAACUUAUCAUGUAAUCAGUUGAUCGGCAAAAUCCCAAACAAGAUUGGUGAUCUGAAGUAG
rnacentral:rRNA from 1 species